rnacentral:lncRNA from 1 species
UCCAAAAUCUAAUCCAACCCAAAUUAUUGUCCCAUUAAAAAGCCCGAGGCUACAAUCGACUACAACAACCAACCUUAUAUCAUCACGCGAAUCGUCAAGCCAAAUUAUGAGAGUAGAAAGGAGGAUGUCGACUCCAUACAUUGUUAUUAUUAUCAUCUUCCCCAUCACAAGAAAACAAAGACAGAAUAAAACAUAUUCUAACUCUUCAUUUCCU